rnacentral:rRNA from 1 species
GACGAACGCUGGCGGCGUGCUUAACACAUGCAAGUCGAACGAAGAGCGAUGGAAUCUUGCUUCUCUCAAUCUUAGUGGCGAACGGGUGAGUCACGCGUAAUCAACCUGCCCUUCAGAGGGGGACAACAGUUGGAAACGACUGCUAAUACCACAUACGAUCUGACCUCGGCAUCGAGGAUAGAUGAAAGGUGGCCUCUAUUUAUAAGCUAUCACUGAAGGAGGGGAUUUCGUCUGAUUAGCUAGUUGGAGGGGUAACGUCCCACCAAGGCGAUGAUCAGUAGCCGCACUGCGAGGAUGAGCGGCCACAUUGGGACUGAGACACGACCCAGACUCCUAGGGGAGGGAGCAGUGCGGAAUCUUCCGCAAUGGACGAAAGUCUGACGGAGCAACGACGCGUGAGUGAUGACGGCCGUCGGGUUGUGAAGCUCUGUUAGUCGGGACGAAAGGCCUUCUUGCGAAUAGUUAGAAGGAUUGACGGUACCGGAAGAGAAAGCCACGGCUAACUACGUG